AUGCCGCCUAUUCGCGCCCCUCCCACACACUCUCGACCUCCUCCCGGCGUGCCACCGCCCCUGCUCCUCCCUCCUCCAGGAGGACGCGCCGCCGCCCCUGUUCUUCCUUCCUCCUGUCGGCGGGUCAGGUCCCUCAACAUCGCGGCGUCGGAGGCGGACGCAAGGCCGGUGCUGGUGCCGGGGGGCAACAAGGCCCCGGCGGCUGCGUGGAAACCUUCUCCCAAGCCGCUGCGGAAGGCGCCAGAGAAGCCUCCGGCCGCUGACCCGGUCAAAGAGGAUGAGUUGCAGGGCGUGAAGAAGGACGCGGGGGCCGCCACUGCUGUUGGCGACGACGGCGCUAGGAAGGGGAACUCGUCCCCAUUGCCGCCGCCGAGGAAGCUGCAAGAUGCACCGGCGGUGAACCUCAACGCGUCCUGCUCCUCGGAGGCCCCCGUGGAGUCGCUUCGCGGCCAGGCCCCAGGCGGAAGGACGGAGAAGGGCUGGUCCCGGCCGACCGCGCCCAAGCGUGGGAAGGCUGCGUCUAAGGUGGUGGAGAAGCACACCGAUGUCGCGGAGGUUGCCGCUCCGGUGACGCCGGAGGCCGUCCGAGGGAGGAGCCGGUGCGCCUGGGUGACUCCGACCACCGGGCACGCCUCCGAGGUAGCCGAUGCCUACUGUAUCCAGUGUUCUGCUGGAUCCGGUGCCACCUCAAAGAACACCUUCUUCUGGCUGGGCAUUGAACGCCUCAGGGACGACGAGGUGCAGCAACUGGGGUGGAAGCAGUUCAACUACAUGAUGAAGAAUUGA
rnacentral:rRNA from 1 species